rnacentral:rRNA from 1 species
CAGUAGCCACGGGAAUACAGAGGGUGCGAGCGUUAAUCGGAUUUACUGGGCGUAAAGCGUGCGUAGGCGGCUUUUUAAGUCGGAUGUGAAAUCCCUGAGCUUAACUUAGGAAUUGCAUUCGAUACUGGGAAGCUAGAGUAUGGGAGAGGAUGGUAGAAUUCCAGGUGUAGCGGUGAAAUGCGUAGAGAUCUGGAGGAAUACCGAUGGCGAAGGCAGCCAUCUGGCCUAAUACUGACGCUGAGGUACUAAAGCAUGGAGAGCAAACAGGAUUAGAUACCCGAGUAGUCCCUGUCUCUUAUAC